AAACGAGGUACGGUACUAUCCGAAUCAGGUAUGUCACCUUGUGAAACCAAUUUUCAGUUACUCAGCUUUGGAAAUAGAUUUACCUAUUUUCCUGGGUCGCUUUUUCCCCGUAUCUAAAUGAAUACCUGAAUCACAUGCCUGUGGGCAACCUGUUCCUAGCUUAGUUCUGCUUGUGGUCUUCUUGGGAAGAAUUAAUAAUUUUAUUGACUUAAGGCCUAGAAAAACUAAUUUUUUGGCUCUUACUGUGCUAGGUGUUUUACAGAAAGGCAGAUUUGCAGCUAAAUUGUUGUCCUAUCAGUCCUUUCAUGGUGGUAGGCAGUUGUAGGUAGACGUUGUGUUCCAGUUCAAGCAUUGGUUUGGCUGAUCUCUGAAUAACAAGGUUAUAAAGUAGUUGGAGUUUGCAUCUCUAUAUUUCCUUCAGGUAAAUGAUUUCCUUCUCAGGCAUCCUAUAUGGGAAUUCAGUCAGGGUAUUCUUUGCAGCAUGUUUAUAGUGACAGAAAUCUAAUUAGAGAGCAGAAAAAUGUGUGAAAAUUUUUAGAAAGCGUGUUUGCAUUCCAUUAAUUAAUUCUGUUAAUGGGUGCUGCAGCAGAGACAUGGGCUCAUUGUGCUAGUCUGUACCCAGAGACAUGAAGAAACAGUCUGUGCCCAGAGAAUUACAGUCAAGGCAAUGAAUGGAAAAGAAAAUAAUAUUUACUCCUGGUGUAGUUCUGUUGGAUUUGGAGAAGUAAACUGUUUUUUGUUGUUGAGGUUUUAGGGAGGAUUUUGAGAAGAUUCAUAGCUCUGCACAUCAGAAACGUUACCGCUCUCUGUGUCUAUACUUGUUUAGGCCUUACACAAUUUAUGGACCGUAUCAUUGCUCUCCUUUGAAGGUGCCACAGCCAUCAGAAAGGAACAGAAGGAGUUGUUAAAGGUUCACUAAGCCACACAACCGUUCCCAUAGCAUGGGACACCUUUGCUGAUGUAAUGAUAUUCAUGAAAGGACCAAAGCACAAAGAAAGGGAAUCUAAUAAAUACCUGAACUUCAGAAGGCAGAAUAUCACAGCAGGUCAUUUUUCUAAAUUAUUUAAGCACAGUGUUUGCUAUGCGCUUCUACCAUUUCUCAGAACUCGAAAGCUGGGUUAAGAGAAGGGAUUAGGGAAGAUCCUUCCCACAUCAAGUUCAAGGGAAUGUCAAUUAAUCCACGGUUAAUAAAUGACAACAAGAGCAGCA
rnacentral:lncRNA from 1 species